rnacentral:rRNA from 1 species
CUCUGUGACUCCUACGGGAGGCAGCAGUGGGGAAUAUUGCACAAUGGGCGCAAGCCUGAUGCAGCAACGCCGCGUGAGCGAUGAAGGCCUUCGGGUCGUAAAGCUCUGUCCUCAAGGAAGAAUAAAUGACGGUACUUGAGGAGGAAGCCCCGGCUAACUACGUGCCAGCAGCCGCGGUAAUACGUAGGGGGCAAGCGUUAUCCGGAAUCACUGGGCGUAAAGGGUGCGUAGGCGGUUUUCAAGUCAGAAGUGAAAGGCUAUGGCUCAACCAUAGUAAGCUUUUGAAACUGUUAAACUUGAGUGCAGGAGAGGAAAGUGGAAUUCCUAGUGUAGAGGUGAAAUUCGUAGAUAUUAGGAGGAACACCAGUGGCGAAGGCGACUUUCUGGACUGUAACUGACGCUGAGGCACGAAAGCGUGGGGAGCGAACAGGAUUAGAUACCCUGGUAG